rnacentral:rRNA from 1 species
GAUCGUAAAGCUCUGUUGUUAGGGAAGAACAAGUGCCGUUCAAAUAGGGCGGCACCUUGACGGUACCUAACCAGAAAGCCACGGCUAACUACGUGCCAGCAGCCGCGGUAAUACGUAGGUGGCAAGCGUUGUCCGGAAUUAUUGGGCGUAAAGGGCUCGCAGGCGGUUUCUUAAGUCUGAUGUGAAAGCCCCCGGCUCAACCGGGGAGGGUCAUUGGAAACUGGGGAACUUGAGUGCAGAAGAGGAGAGUGGAAUUCCACGUGUAGCGGUGAAAUGCGUAGAGAUGUGGAGGAACACCAGUGGCGAAGGCGACUCUCUGGUCUGUAACUGACGCUGAGGAGCGAAAGCGUGGGGAGCGAACAGGAUUAGAUACCCUGGUAGUCCACGCCGUAAACGAUGAGUGCUAAGUGUUAGGGGGUUUCCGCCCCUUAGUGCUGCA